GAUGAACGCUGGCUACAGGCUUAACACAUGCAAGUCGAGGGGAAACGACGGGGAAGCUUGCUUCCCCGGGCGUCGACCGGCGCACGGGUGAGUAACGCGUAUCCAACCUGCCUCUGACUGAGGGAUAACCCGUCGAAAGUCGGCCUAAUACCUCAUGGCAUCGUCUGCGGGCAUCCAACGACGAUUAAAGAUUUCAUCGGUCAGGGAUGGGGAUGCGUCUGAUUAGCUAGUUGGCGGGGUAACGGCCCACCAAGGCGACGAUCAGUAGGGGUUCUGAGAGGAAGGUCCCCCACAUUGGAACUGAGACACGGUCCAAACUCCUACGGGAGGCAGCAGUGAGGAAUAUUGGUCAAUGGGCGAGAGCCUGAACCAGCCAAGUAGCGU
rnacentral:rRNA from 1 species